CUGCUCUUUUUCCAAUCUAAUGUUGCAGAGCAACUGUUGAUGGGGCUGAAAGACAAAGAGACAAUAGUGCGGUGGUCUUCUGCCAAGGGGAUUGGAAGAGUGACCGGUAGACUUCCUAAAGAGCUUGCAGAUGAAGUGGUUGAAUCUGUGUUGGAGUGCUUCAGUUUCCAGGAAACAGAUAAUGCCUGGCAUGGUGGCUGCCUGGCUCUUGCAGAGCUGGGCCGGAGAGAGGACUGCUGCUUCCUUCACGUCUGUC